CAUAUAACUAAGCGGAGAAAAAGAAAAUAACAAUGAUUCCUAAAGUAACGGCGAGUGAAAUAGGAACAGCCCAUAGCCGAAUUCUGCUGUCCUCGACGGCAGCUAGAAGUUGUGGCGUUGGGAACUGCCUCUUUUAACCGAUCGGUGGGGCUACGCGACUCCUCUUGAUUGUGGUUUGCCCAUAGCAGGUGAAAGGCCUAUUGUCGUAGCCUCGUUUUGAACACCGGCGGUGAUGGCAGUCCUUAGAGUCGGUUUGUUUGGGAUUGCAGACCGAAGUAGGUGGUAAACUCCACCUAAGGCUAAAUACGAUCGCGAGUCCGAUAGCGCACAAGUACCGUGAGGGACAGUUGAAAAGAACUUUGAAGAGAGAGUUCAAAGUACGUGAAACCGUUCAGAGGUAAACGGGUAGAAAGUCGAAUUGAAAGUUGACAAUCAAGCCGUUGAUUAAGUCUAAGUUGAGCUAGUAGUACGUUAAAGACUGCUAGUUUGCUUGUAUGGCUAAUUACGGUUGUAUUUGUUGAUUUUGGAUCGCCGCAGCGGCAGUGAACCGACCGGCUGGUGUUCGUUCCUCUGGUUGAUAUAGAUCCGUAUGGGUCUUUUAAUGUCAGCACAUGGAUGGACAUCCCGCGUACAGGGCACAGUCGAUAAUUUUAUAUACAGUUUAAGUGUUCCGGUUGGCUAUUCGUUCGUUUUGUAUUGGCUUGUUAAUCUUAAAAAAGUUUACUGGCUAACAUCAGGGCGGCGAUGGCUGAUUUAACGACGGAACAACAACUGUCUUGGCGGCGUUUGACCACGAAUUAUCUACCUGACCCGUCUUGAAACACGGACCAAGGAGUCUAACAUAUGCGCGAGUCAUUGGGAUUGUAUUAUUUUACAAAACCUAAAGGCGAAGUGAAAGCAACUCUGAUGAGAUCUGUCGUUUAUUCGUUAAAAAUAACACGGCAGCGCAUCAUCGUCACGCCUCGAUUUGGCUUCGGCUAAAGAGGCGCAGAUUGAGCGCAUAAGUUGGGACCCGAAAGAUGGUGAACUAUGCGAGGCGAGGUCGAAGCCAGAGGAAACUCUGGUGGAGGACUGUAGCGGUUCUAACGUGCAAAUUGAUCGUCGCAGCUUCGUAUAGGGGCGAAAGACUAAUCGAACCAUCUAGUAGCUGGUUCCCUCCGAAGUUUCCCUCAGGAUAGCUGGCACUUUCGGAGAGCAGUUUUGUCCGGUAAAGCGAAUGACUAGAGGCCUUGGGGACAUAACGACCUCAACCUAUUCUCAAACUUUGAAUGGGCAAGAAAAAGUACUCACUUAAUUGGAGUGCUUGUUUCUCUUUAAAAAGAAUGCUUGAGUGCCAAGUGGGCCAUUUUUGGUAAGCAGAACUGGCGCUGUGGGAUGAACCAAACGUUUAGCUAAGGUGCCAAAUGCUAACGCUCAUCCGAACCCAUUAAAGGUGUUGGUUGAUAGAGACAGCAGGACG
rnacentral:rRNA from 1 species